AUGUACGUGUAACAAAAUUCUAUCCGGCAAAUAAAUUUCUUUUUCAAACCGCAAAAAUUUAACCACCUCAAAAUUUCCGUAACUAAAUUAUAUAGUAAGCGAAGAUGUUGCAGUUUAUUGUUCAACACUUCGCCACAAAUUUCUAUUCAAAAGUGGGUUUCUAUGUCAUUGGCAGUGUGAUCGGAUCUUUGUGGUAUCAUAAUCCCAUUAAACUAAAAUGGUAUUACUAUAGCAAUAGUCUAACAUCUAGCGUGAGUCCUGUGCUUAAUAUUGAAAUCAGUCAAUCAUUUAUGGUAGGGAUUGCACUUAUGUUUGGUGAGUGCGCGCUAUUAGGCUAUAUAAUGCACAGUAAUGCAGUUCGCGAUGUCAAGAACCAGUUGUGUGAAAGAAUUGAGAAAGUAAUCAGAAAACCUAAAGACAUGGAUAACAUAAGAAAGAUUAUCGAAGACGAAACCGGUAAACUAACCAUUGACAUCGUUGAUGAAUCUUCUGCAGAAAUCAGUGACGAUGAAUCUCUUCUGAGCACUUCCACUGAUUCAACUAUAUACGAGAAAUCAAAACAAUAUGAUCAAACAAAGGAGCUAAUGACUGUCUAUAGUGCAGUGGAAUAUGAUAAUGAUAGUUCUGAGGAUGAUUUAACAACAAGGGACACAAGACCGCAAUCAGAUAUUAAGCUAAUAGUAAAAGAACCAAGCCGCAUUCGUAUUCUAAGACCAUUUAGUACCGACAAAAUAGUAGUGAAUACUGAUGAAGAGAAAAAAACGGAAGACGUUUCAAACAACGAUGUUAACUCUCCUUUUACUACCAAGGUAAACGCUGUUUAUUUAUCUGCAUUUGGUGUUAAUAAUAAUACCGAUUCCGAAUUGUAAUCACUUUUUGCAGACAAUAAGUAACACAACUUUAAACUUAACCAAAAAUCUUGCGGAAAAGUAAAGCUCUUCCCGAUGUUAAGUAAUGAACAUAAUAAAAGAAUAAAGCACACAAAGAGAAUUAUUCAUCACAUAUCCGUUUAAAAGUACAAAUGGACAGAAAUGAAUAGAUUAAGAAAAAUAUGCAAUUACCUACAUCUUUUGCUAACUAGACUCUGAAUCGCGUUUGGAGGUUAAAUCGCAGAUGACCCAGAAAAUCAGAACUCAUUUUUUGUACAGUUAUCAAAUAAGGGACAAAAACUGAAUCUCCCAUUUUGAGUCUUGAAAAAUGAGUGGUGUAUUGUGUAUUUUACCUGAAGAUUUUGGAUGAUACUACUUUACUAUAUCCUUAGUGAUAAAGUAAAUUAUUAAAUAAAAAUAAAACGACUUCAGCAAAUUUUCUAUGAGCAUCGAUAUUACAUACUCCAACUCCUGUUGAAAACAUAACCAGUAUGAUGCAAAAAACAGUGGUGAUUUGACUGGAACUGGAGUCUUAAACAUAAAGAAUAAAAAAAAAAUGAUGGGCACUACAUUAUUACAAUUAUUCAGUUCCAAAACGAUUUUUAAUGAUAUUACAAUAUCUUUAAUUGCCUUUCCUGUGAAGUGUUGAAUAGAAAUGAAAUCGACUUUCCCACUGCUCUCUAAUGAAUAAUAAACCAAAGAAUGGCAAUAUUUAUUGAAAAGAAAAUCACAAUAGUGGAAAAAAUCACAGUGAAUGAAGUGUAGUGAGUAUUGUGUA